UUGUGAAGAAAUCGUAUUUUCUUAGGUUAAUUGAUUCAAAAGAGAUUCAUUUGAGCACCUGUUGAUAUGCCAGCACUGCCAUACACAUCUCAUCACAGAGUCUCUUGCUUGCCAAUGUCUUACUAAUACAGAGAUGGCUGACGUAACUCCCCUGCCAUUGAGAAAUGUGUAGUAAGAGUGGCCUGAGAACUAAGCUAUCCAGUAUAGUGCAGGCCCUAUUUCUAAAAUUCACUUCAAUGGAACUGAGUAUUUUAUAUAGCUACGUCAUGGAAGUACUCAUCUGCUUGCACACUCGUGUGCUUGAGAAGCUGCCAGACCUGAUUGAAAUUUAAUAAUACGGGAAUAUAUCAUAAAUGAUGCACAUGACAACUAAGCCCCAGGAUCGAGGCCGCCCUGCAGUGUUUUCCAAGCCCUUAUGAAACCGCUAUAGAAAUGUCAAAGUGGAUGGAAGUGAAGAUGGACACACUAAUGCAAGACUUGACUUUAAACGGAACACAUUUUUCUCUUCCUCAUUCUUGAAGACCCCCCCCCCCCCACUUCACUUGUUUUUCUGUAGAAUCUUUUGUUCCAAGAAGUGGAUAUCGAUGUGUUGACACUUAGUAAGGAGCCUUGGAUGGCCGAUGGCAGCACUAGUUAUGAGACGACCUUGAACACCUGUGGAACGUGGCGGGCAGCACGGAUCAGAUUCCUUUAGCUACUGCUUAGAUUCUGUAUUUUCUUGUCGAACCCCCUCAGCCUCUUGCCCUGGGCAGGCUUGCAGUCUUGGAGGCAUUAGCCUGCUGCCUCCUUUCCUAGGCAAAGUAAUCAUAUACAAACAUAAUUCGGCCCCAGAGCACAGAAGUCGGUUUUGGACAAUACUUAGAAGGGAAGGCAAUCUUAAAACAACCUCUCUGGGCCUCAGACUGAAGAAGGGGUGGGUUAGAGAAGGAAGUGUCAGUGCGUGUUAAAUUGGAGCAAAUCUGCGGAUUCUCUGACCACAAUCUUUCUAGGAGAUCAACCUCCGAGAUGCCUUCCUCAGAACUCUAGAAAGCGACCUAAGAGGCUUGGUACAAGGUAGAAACAGACAAGUAGUCUGAGAAGUAAAAUUUUAAAAAGAAGAGGGAAGAAUUUUUAAAAUUACUGUUGGGUCUUUCAUUUGUCUUGAGGUUUCCCUUUUUCU